rnacentral:rRNA from 1 species
GGGGAAUAUUGGACAAUGGGGGCAACCCUGAUCCAGCGAUGCCGCGUGAGUGAAGAAGGCCUUCGGGUUGUAAAACUCUUUCACCUGUGAAGAUAAUGACGGUAGCAGGAGAAGAAGCACCGGCAAACUCUGUGCCAGCAGCCGCGGUAAGACAGAGGGUGCUAGCGUUGUUCGGAAUGACUGGGCGUAAAGGGCGCGUAGGCGGUAAGUCAAGUCAAAUGUGAAAGCCCCGGGCUUAACCUGGGAACUGCAUUUGAUACUGGCAUACUGGAGUAUGGGAGAGGAAAGUGGAAUUCCUAGUGUAGAGGUGAAAUUCGUAGAUAUUAGGAGGAACACCAGAGGCGAAGGCGGCUUUCUGGCCCAUAACUGACGCUAAGGCGCGAAAGCGUGGGGAGCAAAC